rnacentral:lncRNA from 1 species
GAAACUUGCCAAGAAAUCUUGGUUUAAUAUCUGUCACUUAAGACAACAAUUAAUCUGUUUUCCACUGUUUGGAUUCUUAAAUUGUACUCCUUCAGCCAGAGGAGCUUACGCUGCUGCUAAUAAAGCUGAGACGGCAGCAAGCCGAACUGAGUAGUAUCCGGGAGCAUACGUUAGCACAGCUCAUGCAGCUAAAGCUUGAGGCCCACAGCCCAAAGAAUGAAAUUCUUUCACAUCAUCUCCAAAGGAACACCAUAUAUUUGGAUCAUCAGAUGAAAGAAAAUGAACCUAUUAUCACCAUGGUUCACACAAUGAUUGAGAACUCGGCGCUAAGACCCCAACUGUACCAGCAAGUAAGGUCUUGGACAGUGAAUGAUACUGCUUUAUCAUCUGCAAAAUCCCUCAGUGACAGUUUUGAUUUAUUCUCAGAUUUAC